GACGAACGCUGGCGGCGUGCCUAAUACAUGCAAGUAGAACGCUGAAGAGAGGAGCUUGCUCUUCUUGGAUGAGUUGCGAACGGGUGAGUAACGCGUAGGUAACCUGCCUUGUAGCGGGGGAUAACUAUUGGAAACGAUAGCUAAUACCGCAUAACAAUGGAUGACACAUGUCAUUUAUUUGAAAGGGGCAAUUGCUCCACUACAAGAUGGACCUGCGUUGUAUUAGCUAGUAGGUGAGGUAAUGGCUCACCUAGGCGACGAUACAUAGCCGACCUGAGAGGGUGGUCGGCCACACUGGGACUGAGACACGGCCCAGGCUCCUACGGGAGGCAGCAGUAGGGAAUCUUCGGCAAUGGGGGCAACCCUGACCGAGCAACGCCGCGGGAGUGAAGAAGGUUUUCGGAUCGUAAAGCUCUGUUGUAAGUCAAGAACGGGUGUGAGAGUGGAAAGUUCACACUGUGACGGUAGCUUACCAGAAAGGGACGGCUAACUACGUG
rnacentral:rRNA from 1 species